rnacentral:rRNA from 1 species
AACACCAGAUCUCUCAGUACAUUGUUUAGCACGUGUAGUGGGUUAUUAAAAAAANGNNCUNAGUGAGGCGAUAAGUUAGACGUUGGUUUUUAUAGNNGUUUUAUGGGGAGAUUUUUCUACUUAGUGUCCGGGUGAUGAGAUCCGGACACGUACUAUAUCUUAAAUUAUUUAAAUUUUUACUAGGGUUAAGGUUACUCGUGUAUUAAAGAGUGUGUUAUUACUCUAACUAUUUAUUUGUCAGAUUAGUGUAGAUUACCCAUAUUUAUAUAACUAUUUUAGUUUAUUUAUGGUUUAAUUAGUAAUUAUAACAAAAAUAAUUUUUCUCGGGUUUAGCCCAACUGUUUAUUAAAAACAUUUUUGCUUAGUUGGGUUUGAGCAAUAAAACCUGCCCGGUGUUUAUAUUAACGGCCGCAGUAUUAUGACUGUGCGAAGGUAGCAUAAUUAAUUGCCCCAUAAUUGGGGGCUUGUCUGAAUGGUUUAAUGUGGUUAAAACUAAAAUUAUUUUUAUAUGUGAAUUUAAUUUUGUGAGUACGGAAUCUACAUAAUUGAGUUAGACGGAAAGACCCCAGGAUCUUUCAAUUUUGUCUGGGGCAGAUUGCGGUGUUUUACUGCAUUUGUGACCCUCUGGUUAGAGAUUUAAGUUACCCUGGGGAUAACAGAGUAAUAAUUUAUUAGAGACCAUAUCGAUUAAAUUGUUUGCUACCUCGAUGUUGACUUGNNNUAAUUUAAUGGCGCAGUAGUUAUUAAAUGUGGUCUGUUCGACCAAG